rnacentral:antisense_RNA from 1 species
UUGACCGUGAAGUCCCAGUCGGGCACCUCCUCACCCAGAAUGCGCUCGCCGAAGAACCGGCCGUCGUUGAGCACCUCGAGCGCGGUCUGCUCGCCGUACGCGCCGGUGCCGAGUUUGCUCGCCUUGCCGUGUGCGAGCAGAACGAGUUCGUUGGCCGGGUUGCCGGCUUCUGCCAGCAGGUCUCCCGGCUCGUACUCCCGUUUCUCGAAGCGAUCGGCGAGCGCUUCGAGCGCGGCGUCGUCGUCGAAGGUGCGCAGGUACCGCAGCUCCCGCAGCUCCGGCGCCAGCACGCGGACGUCGUCACCGGAGGUCACGCACGUGAUCCGGCCGUCCCCGAUGGUGUAGGUCAAACGCCGGUUGACCCGGUAGACGCCGCCGUCCGCCUGAACCCACGGCAGCAGCUUCAACAGCCACCGCGACGUGAUGCCCUGCAUCUGCGGCGUCGACUUGGUGGUGGUCGCGAGGUUUCGCGCCGCCGCGGUACUCAGGCUCUGCUGCGGGUUCUCCGC